AUGUUUUGCCCCAGUCAUGUGGGACCCCAUGGAAAUCACCAGAUUGCCCCCUGCCCGUCUGGUUCACCAAGGAGACGAGCUCGUUCCCCAUCUGGCGCUCAUCUGUCGCUACCGUUGCUCGACGGAAGACGGCGGCGACUCGUCCCGGCGAUUCCCCGUGGUCCUCGACGGCGGCAGCUAGGUCAGUCCUCUCACUCUCUCAGCCCGCCGCCCGUCUUGAUGCAGGUGCUGCUGCUUGCCGCCGCUGGUCUGGUGUGCUUGUGCGCUACCGUCGCUCUGUUAUGUCGCCGCUUCUUCUUCUUGCCGGUCCCUACUGCUGGUGUUGUUCGUGGCCGACCCGUGCUGCUGCUGUUGUUCGUGGCUCUUGUGUUACUGCUGCUUACUGGUGGUCGACGGAAGGUGCGGUGGAGGCGCUCGCAGCUGCCCGACUCCACUUGGGCGCCAUCGUGUUCAGCCUUGGCGUGGAUCUAG
rnacentral:rRNA from 1 species